GAUGAACGCUGGCGGCGUGCCUAACACAUGCAAGUCGCGCGGGGAAUUGUUGCUUGCAUCAAUUCUUAGAGGCGGACGGGUGAGUAACACCUGGGUAACCUGCCCUAAACAAACGUAUAUCAAUGAGAAAUCAUUGCUAAUACCGUAUACGCUUACACUAUCGCAUGAUAGCGUAAGAAAAGAUCUAUCGGUUUAGGAGGGGCCCGCGUCUGAUUAGCUAGUUGGAGAGGUAACGGCUCACCAAGACGACGAUCAGUAGCCGACCUGAGAGGGUGAGCGGCCACAUUGGGACAGAGACACGGCCCAAACUCCUACGGGAGGCAGCAGUGGGGAAUAUUGCACAAUGGAGGAAACUCUGAUGCAGCAACGCCGCGUGAAGGAAGAAGGUUUUCGGAUCGUAAACUUUUAUCUACAGGGAAGAAAAAAAUGACGGCACCUGAGUAAGAAGCCCCGGCUAACUACGUG
rnacentral:rRNA from 1 species